rnacentral:rRNA from 1 species
AUUGAACGCUGGCGGCAGGCCUAACACAUGCAAGUCGAGCGAGCGGCGGACGGGUGAGUAAUUUAUUGGGAUCUGCCCGAUAGAGGGGGAUAACUACUGUAAACGUUGGCUAAUACCGCAUACUAUCCUAUGAACCCAUAGUGGAUUAGCUAGUAGGUGGGGUAAAGGCUCACCUAGGCGACGAUCCCUAGCUGACCUGAGAGGAUGAUCAGCCACACUGGGACUGAGACACGGCCCAGACUCCUACGGGAGGCAGCAGUGGGGAAUAUUGCACAAUGGGCGCAAGCCUGAUGCAGCCAUGCCGCGUGUAUGAAGAAGGCCUUAGGGUUGUAAAGUACUUUCAGCGGGGAGGCGUUACCCGAAGAAGAAGCAACGGCUAACUCCGUGCCAGCAGCCGCGGUAAUAC